rnacentral:rRNA from 1 species
AAACUACCCUUCGGAACACAAUACCCUCGGGAAACUGAGCUAAUAGCGUAUACCAUACCACCACUGGAAUGAGUGGUAUGCCAAACGCUCCGGCGCCGAAGGAUGUGGCUGCGGCCGAUUAGGUAGACGGUGGGGUAACGGCCCACCGUGCCAAUAAUCGGUAUGGGUCAUGAGAGUGAGAACCCAGAGACGGAAUCUGAGACAAGAUUCCGGGCCCUACGGGGCGCAGCAGGCGCGAAACCUUUACACUGCACGACAGUGCGAUAGGGGGAUCCCAAGUGCACAGGCAUAGCGCCUGUGCUUUUCGGUACCCUAAGGCGGUACCAGAAUAAGGGCUGGGCAAGACCGGUGCCAGCCGCCGCGGUAAUACCGGCAGCCCAAGUGAUGGCCGAUCUUAUUGGGCCUAAAGCGUCCGUAGCUGGCCGCGCAAG